rnacentral:rRNA from 1 species
AGAUGCAGACUGGGCGUAAAGCGUGCGCAGGCGGUUUUGUAAGACAGAGGUGAAAUCCCCGGGCUCAACCUGGGAACUGCCUUUGUGACUGCAAGGCUGGAGUGCGGCAGAGGGGGAUGGAAUUCCGCGUGUAGCAGUGAAAUGCGUAGAUAUGCGGAGGAACACCGAUGGCGAAGGCAAUCCCCUGGGCCUGCACUGACGCUCAUGCACGAAAGCGUGGGGAGCAAACA